ACAUUAAUUAGUUUUAUACAUUCAUAUUUUAAAGGCUUGUGGUUUUAUGGUGUUUGUGAUUCAUUUUGUUUAUUUGCGUAUUUAACUUACUUAGUCUGUUGACAUGUGAAAUGUUUAAAAUUUUCUGUUUCUAUAUAUAUUUAUUUUCAUGAAGACAGAUUUUAAAUCAUUUUUCCUUCCAGAAAACUGGUUGAGGUUUCAGCAUUUACAAUAUUGUAUCUUUAAUUAAAUCACUAACUGAUGAUUCAGCUCAAAUAAGAAACCAAUGACGAAGAAAUGUUUUUUUGUUCAUGAAUGUAAAUCAGCUAGUAAAUGUACUUGAAGUGUCAGGUACUAAUGUAGCUAUAAAAUCAUGCAUUGUUCCAUGAAUGAUACUAAAUAUAUGUAUAUGAAAUAAAAGUUAUAAUAGAU
rnacentral:sRNA from 1 species